UGUCACAGCACGACCGCCCUGCCCGCCGUGCGCUUCCUCUCCGCGCUUCAGGCCUCAGAGGGACCCUGAGCGGACGUGGCAGGGGCGGCACGCGACAGCCUUUGGGGAGUUGGGAUCCGGGGAGACCCGCGUCGUUUCCCGUCCGCUCGGAGCGGCGAGACCCUCGGGAGGCGCCUCCGCGUGGCCAGAGCGCAUCGGGUCGCCUGCGGCUUCCCCGGCUUCCAACUCGAGGGAUCUCCCGACCAUUCUGCCGCCAGGACUUCCACCGGGCGCGAGGCGAGCUCUAAACAAACAUCACAUCUAAAUUAAAAAAAAAAAAAAAAAGCGGAAGAAGCGCCGAGG